rnacentral:misc_RNA from 1 species
AGCCUCGACAACCAGCGAUCCCAGAUCAUGCUUCUCCUCAACGAAACCGUCGCACUCGACACCUUUCUGAGCCUCCAGCGUGAUCUUGCGAAGAAGGAAUCCGACGUCGCAGACCUGGAACGACGACUGGAAGCCGCGAACUCAAUCAGCACCAUCAGCGACACGAUCAAACUGCGAACCGCAGAACUCGUCGCCUCGGUCCGAACCGAACUGAACGAGCGAAAUGACAGCCUCGUUGAAUCGAUCUCCCUAUUCGGCGAACUCGGCGCAGAGAUCUACACCGACCGUGAGGCAUCACUUCUGAUUUCGCCGACACCCAAAGGACUCUUAGGCGUCGAGCCCC